rnacentral:rRNA from 1 species
UCCCAGACUCCUACGGGAGGCAGCAGUGGGGAAUAUUGCACAAUGGGGGGAACCCUGAUGCAGCGACGCCGCGUGGGUGAAGGAGCACCUCGGUGCGUAAAGCCCUAUCGGCAGGGAAGAAACAGACGGUACCUGACUAAGAAGCCCCGGCUAACUACGUGCCAGCAGCCGCGGUAAUACGUAGGGGGCAAGCGUUAUCCGGAUUUACUGGGUGUAAAGGGGGCGCAGACGGCAGCGCAAGCCAGGAGUGAAAGCCCGGGGCCCAACCCCGGGACUGCUCUUGGAACUGCGCGGCUGGAGUGCAGGAGGGGCAGGCGGAAUUCCUGGUGUAGCGGUGAAAUGCGUAGAUAUCAGGAGGAACACCGGUGGCGAAGGCGGCCUGCUGGACUGCGACUGACGUUGAGGCCCGAAAGCGUGGGGAGCGAACAGGAUUAGAUACCCCCGUACU